GAAGCUAGAGUGAGCACCACACUAGUCCCCAAGAACCAUGGAACUCCACCAUCUGAUAUUUGUUCAAACACUCCCUGCCCUCUGGCAACUUCCACUGCCAUUGCAGCUACAAACCCAAUCAUGGCCAAUCUUCCAUUGAUCCUCUCAGGUGCAGGCCCACCAAAUGCCAUCACAUCUGAAAACUUAGUGCUCACCUGCAAUUUUACCGUCACUAAUGUAAGUAAAAGUCUCAUAACCAUGGUGUAAUUAGCAUGACUAAAUGUAAAGAAAAUAGUGAACAGAGUCACAACUAUGUAAAUUAUACAAAUUAAAAUUUUCAAACACUUGGCUCACUCACCUUUGGUGCACGAGGUUUUGGUGGUGGUGCUGAUGGAGUAACUGGGCUUGCACUAGUAGCAGGUUCAAUAGGUUGCUUUUUUGGCUCUUCAGCCAUGGACCUAACUCUCAGGCUAGAGUUCCUUCUCUGGCUUGGCAUGUAGACAGAAGGAAUGGUGAACUGGUUCACCCUUGACCUGGUGGUCAUGCGGAUCAUAGGGUUAGCCAGGAUAGAUUGCAUAGCAGAAGUUGAGGAAGCCAUUGCUGAAUUGGAAGUGUUGAUUGAGUUAACACAAGAACUUGCUAUAUCAGAGAAUUUCUAGGAAGAGCUUAGUAAAGUUUAUAAGCUAUGCUUUUAAUGCUACACCUCCUAUGUUUGGUGAAUGCAUUGAAUAGAAUAAGGUAGUUUUUAUAGAAUUAAAGGCAAGCAUUGUGGUGGACAUAUUGGUUCCACGUCAAGUGUGUAUAGGCACAAAAGGUAAUUGGUUCACGUGGGUUCUCUUGUCCACACAUGGUAAAAGGAGGAGACGUGGUUCCCUUGAGGGCCAUAAGGGUGAGUGUGUGUUUGGAUUAGCGUUAGCAGAAUUGGAUCUGGCCAGAAUUGAAUCUGGAAGAAUUGGAUCUGGUAAACGUGAGUUUGAGUGACAUGAUUUAUGUUUGGAUACAUUUAUCAGGAAUUGGAUCUGAUAGACUUGAAUUGGAUCUGUAAAAGGGUGAGGGGACAAUUGGAUCAGCAUUGAUGCUGAAGCAACAAAUUGUUGUGUUAGGAUGGAUCCAAUUCUGGGGCCAGAAUUGGAUCAGCAUUUAGCAUCCAAACAUCAAUGGAGAUGGAAAAAUCACGUUUGAGGUCUUUAAACGUGGAUCAGGCCUGAUCCAACGUGCAUCCAAACACACCCUGAAUCAGGGGUUAAAAUGGUUGGUGUUGGACGUGGAACCUUUAGGACUUCAAUUAGUUUUAACUGCAAACCUAGUUCGGUCACUACAAGAACAAUAAUGUAUGUAUACACCUUGUUUUUUAUACACUUUAUUUCCACAUAUUUUUAUUUUUAUCUCUUAUAUUAUAAUAUAUCACAUCUCAUACUUUUUCUCUUUCUUACUUUUUCUUUUCGUCUUAUCUCUUUCUUCAUUUCACUUCUUUCCACUUCUAACAGAGGUGUGAAAGUAUCAUUAUUCCUACUAGAAGGCUUUUACUCUUACAAUUUGUUGGUCGUGCUUCAUUUCAUUCUGCUUAUGAACUGCAUGUGCUUGCUUAUUACCCGCCUUGGGUGAUCUUGACUAUUGACGCUCGAGAUGAUUAAGUCUAGGGAAAUUUUUCUAUUGUCUGUCGCAUGAUUGAUUAUAACUUUUGUUAAUUCUCUUCUACAUAUGGUUUUUCAUUCUGUGCAUGUCACUAAUGCAAAAAUUGUGUCACCUUCAGUGGAUUCACAUUCAACCCAGAAGCCAUAAACUUGUUUCCAGUUGAACUACAUCCAGAUGUAUGUACCCAAACAUUUUAUUUUGUGUCGGUGUAUAUGUAUGUGGAUGUUGUAAUCGACUUUGGUACCUACAUAGUGCAAUUUUUUAAAAAAUUAUCAAACUAGUGCAUAUAUUUUUUUAAUUACAUAACUGGGGUAAAUCACCAUUACAAGUGGCGAUACCCUUUUUUCUUUUAUUGAAAUCGCCACCGUCAGUCGCGACAUGGCCUUUUUUUCAAAAAAAAAAAUUACAUUAGUGACGGAAACAAAUCCGUCACAGAAUUCCAAUACAUACUCUAAAAGAAAUUAGUGACGGAAUGUGUUGAAAGAAGUAGUCCGUCGUAGCGACGGAAUAUACUUUGCGACGAAGUUCUUUCCGUCACAAAAUCUAAGUGAAUAUUGCAAAAUAAUUGGCGACGGAAUUUUGUCAGGAAAUGUUAGUUUGUGACGGAAUUCUCUCUCCACAUUGCGUCACAAAUUCUUUUUUAUACUAGUAUAUUGUGACGGAUGCGUUUCCGUCACUAAGAAAGAAAGUGAAAAAAAAAAAGAACAUGUCGCCACUGACCGUGACGAUUUCAAUAAAAAAAGUAAGAAAAAAAAUGGUAUAAACACUUUAAGUGGCGAUUUACAUAAGAUGUGUAAUUAAAAAAAAUUAUGCACUAGUUUAGUAAAAUUUUCUAAUAAGUACUCUAUACAUAUAAUAGUGUUAUUACGGGGAGUAGCUAACAACACUCAUUUUAACUCUCUUUUCAACACUUUUUUUUAUUAGUUGAAAUUCACGUGGAACAUAUUAAAUUGGUGGUGAGAGUUGAGACUCACAUUUUGAGUGUAACCCAAAUAAAUUUCAAUCAUUAUGUGUUAAAAAGAGAAGGUUGAUAGCAUAAACAAAAGUAGAAUAUUGAGUUAAUUAAUAUUUUAUUAUUUAACAUUGACUCAAUUUUAUGAACAACCACUCUCAGCAUCCCAAGUCAUAUGUGUAAACUUCUCUCUCAUGUGUAACCUUCUCUCUCAAGUGUUUGUGGAAAACAAGAAAAAAAGGACAUGUUGAGUGGAAACCAAAUAAAUUUCAAUCAUUAUGUGUUAAAAAGAGAGGGUCGAUAAUUAAACGGAAGCAGCAUAUUAAGUUAAUUAGUAUUUUAUGAUUUAACAUUGUCGACUCAAGUCAUACUCAAGUCAAUUUUAUGAACAACCAUUUGAGUUAAUUAGUAUUUUAUGAUUGAACAAUUAAAUAUUAAGUUAAUUAGUAUUUUAUGAUUUAACAUUGUCGACUCAAGUCAUACUCAAGUCAAUUUUAACCAUUUGAGUUAAUUAGUAUUUUAUGAUUGAACAAUUAACAUUGUCGACUCAAGUCAUACUCAAGUCAAUUUUAUGAACAACCCCUCCAAGCUUCCCAAGUCCAUAUGUGUAAACUUCUCUCCCAGCUGUAAUCUUCUCUCUCAAGUCUUUGGCAACCAAGAAAAAAAGGACAUGUUGAGCUUUCUCUCUGAUUAAGAGUGAAAGUUCCAUUCGAUAUCCUGAAAUGUAAUUUUAGUAUCUGCUAUUGCAAUUCUCAUCGAAUUUAUCAUUAUGAAGUGUGAACUAGUUUAAUGACAUUUCAGUGUUAUCCUGAAUGCAUUGUUAGAUAGAUAUUUGCUAUUACAAUGUUGAAGGUUAACUGCAGGUUUGCCAUGAGAUAAUUGCAAUUGCCGGAUAGUAAUUACCUGAUUCUCAUUAGCAAGAACCCCAUCAUAUUUUCCUGUUUAUCUCCAUGUUUGAAAUUUAAGUUAUUCAAUAAGGCAGAUUAACAAUACAUUGUUUGAUUUGUAUGGAUCCCAACAGUUAAUAAUAGCCUUCAACGAUUUUUGCUCUUAGUUUAGAAAUAGAUAACAAGAAAUCUGUUUAUGAAUAAGGUAUGAAAUUUCAUUAAUUCUAUGUGUAUUAAUAAACACACCAAGUUUCAUGCAUAACCUUCUAUAAAUCAAUCCUUAUAAUACAUUGUUCCUAAGCCUUUGAACUCUUACACCAGGAUUCCUCCCUUAACAUACUCUGUAAAGGCCAAGGCAAUCAAACCCAACAUAGCAAGCCUUCCAUUCCAGAGCUCUGCAUCAGAGGUCAUGACUCCUUUGGACUUUGACUCCACACUAACCCCUUGAAACAGUGGAACCAAUGAAGCUAGAGUGAGCACCACACUAGUUCCCAAGAACCAUGGAACUCCACCAUCUGAUAUUUGUUCAAACACUCCCUGCCCUCUGGCAACUUCCACUGCCAUUGCAGCUACAAACCCAAUCAUGGCCAAUCUUCCAUUGAUCCUCUCAGGUGCAGGCCCACCAAAUGCCAUCACAUCUGAAAACUUAGUGCUCACCUGCAAUUUUACCAUCACUCAUGUUAGUAAAGUCUCAUAUCCAAGGAUUAAUUAGCAUAUAUAACUAAUUAAAUGUAAAGAAAAUAGUGAACAGAGUCACAACUAUGUAAAUUAUAUUCUUCAAACACUUGGCUCACUCACCUUUGGUGCACGAGGUUUUGGUGGUGGUGGUGAUGGAGUAACUGGGCUAGCACUUUGCUCUUUUGGCUCUUCAGCCAUGGACCUAACUCUCAAGCUAGAGUUCCUUCUCAGGCUUGGCAUGUAGACAGAAGGAAUGGUGAACUGGUUCACCCUUGACCUGGUGGUCAUGCGGAUCAUAGGGUUAGCCAGGAUAGAUUGCAUAGCAGAAGUUGAGGAAGCCAUUGCUGAAUUGGAAGUGUUGGUUGAGAUAACACAAGAACUUGCUAUAUCAGAGAAUUUCAAGGAAGAGCUUAGUCAAGUUUACAAGCUAUGCUUUUAAUGCUACACCUCCUUUGUUUGAUGAUACAUUGAAUAGAAUAAGGUAGUUUAUAUAGAAUUAAAGGCAAGCAUUGUGGUGGACAUUUAGGUUCCACGUCAAGUGUGUAUAGGCCCAAAAGGUAAUUGGUUCACGUGGGUUCUCUUGUCCACACAUGGUAAAAGGAGGAGACGUGGUUCCCUUGAGGGCCAUAAGGGUGAAUCAGGGGUUAAAAUGGUUGGUGUUAGUUUUAACUGCAGACCUAGUUCGGUCACUACUAGAACGUUCUUUUGGUUUCUUGGUAUAUAAGGAGCAGUACUUGUCUUGUUUGUUUCUAUUAGGCUGAAUCUUGUUUUUCAGAUGUUUACUCAACUGCGCUUCACAUAUGAACAAGUGAGUCAUCCAGAUGAGUUUUUCAUCCCAUUUGUCUGGCAACUAGUAUUAUCUCGUUGGUAUGGUUCCACCUGGAGCUUCUUAUUCGUGUAGUCUCAUUACCCUUACAAUUUGUUUGCCGUGCUUCAUUUCAUUCUGCUUAUGAACUGCAUGUGCUUGCUUCUUACCAGCCUUGGAUGAGUGUAGAGAUCCAUCCCUCUAUAUGAAAAUGAGAUAUCCAUGUAAUGAAUAAGCUCUUGCGCUAGUAUAAGUAUCGAUGGAAUAUUGCGGGUUUUGUACCCGAGUAGUGUAGUUUAAUUGGGGUUGUCUAAAUGACCCAAGGUAAAAAUUGGGUUAAAUCAUCCUUUGAUGAGGUGUGUGAAUAAUAUUAUAUUAUGUGUUUUAUAAAUUCCAAGUCAUUUCACUAUUUCUUUCAUUUAUAUUUUCAUAAUAUUCAUUCUAUAAAAUAAUCUAUUUGCACAAUAAACAAAUUAAUUAUGAUAUAAUCACACAACUUUUUUUUCCAAACAAAAAUUGAGAACCCUAAUCCCCAAUUUCUUCCUUGCUUUCUUGGUCUGCUACUCUAAUUUGUUCUCCCAAGAAGCAAAGUUGCAUCACCGUCGUCGGCAAUCACCUUUCAUGCAUCUUCCUAAUUGCUUUUACUCUUAGCAUAGAGUUUAUGGCAUACAUUUCUUAAAGGGGGUGAUUAGGGAUUUAUUGAUUUCACAUCAAAAACCUAUGACAUUUGAAGAUAACUCGUGCAAUGGUAAUGAAAUAUGGUGCAGAAAUUAAUUUCUUUUUAUCAUUUGAAUGAAAACGUAAUUGACGAGGAAGAGUUUGCUUGUUUACUACAAUCAAUUGAUUACACAGAAGUUUCAUAUUUGAGAGAUUUUACUCAAAUGAUUUUGAUCAAAGCAUGGAAGAAAUUGGGAUUAGGGUUCUCAAUUUUUCUUUUUGAAAAAGGAGUUAUGUGUUAUUAUUACUAAUUGAUUGGUUUAUUAGUAUGCAAAUAAAUUAUUAUAUAAAAUGAAUAUUAUGAAAAUAUAAAUAAAAUAAAUACUGAAAUAAGUUAGAAUUUAUAAAAAUACAUGUUAUAAUAUUAUUGGCACACUUCAUCAAAGGGUGAUUUAACCCAAUUUUUACCUUGGGUCAUUUAGACAACCCCAGUUUAAUUUUGUAACAAAAUUACAGCUUUGUGUACUUUUUUAUUUAUUUACCAUUUUAGUAUAAAUCGCCACUGUUAGUGACAUUUUUUUUAUUUUUUAAAAAAUCGUCGAUGCUAUUGGUGUUUUAUUUUAUUUUUUCCUUUUUUUAUUAAAUUGCCAACCAUGUUGGCAUUUUUCUUAUUUUUAAUUUUUUUUAACAAUCCCCAACCAUGUUGGUGUUUUACUACUUUUUUUACAUUUUUUUUAAAUGGCCAACUUGUUGGCUUAUAUUUUUUUAAAAAACCAGCAAUUAAAAUGGUAUUUAAUCCAUUGAUACUCACAUACUUUUGUGCCAUUUCUCUUAAAUUAAAUUAUGUAAUGCGUAUUGUUUAUCUUUAAAUAUCGGUUCAAAUACUUAUGACCAUAGUACUGCAAAAGUGAGUUUUUUUAUAAGUAAAUGUUAGUUGUUAGUAAUGUUAGUAAAUUAGUCUCUCCUAGGGUUCGAACCAUGAAUCCUUCACCAUUCAUCUCACUCAACUCUCAUGUCUUAAACUUUUAUCACUUAAACUAACCAUCGGAGACACUAUAAAAGUGAAUAAGACACGGGUGAGUAUCAAUUGAUUAAAUACAAUUUUAGUUGUUUAUAUAUAUAUAUAUAUGACAUUUAAAAAAAACUGUAAAAAAAGUAAUAAAACGCCAACAUGUUUGGCGAUUGUUUAAAAAAAUAAGAAAAACACCAACCAUGUUGGCAAUUUAAUAAAAAAACUAAAAAGAAAAACUAAAAUGCCAAUAGCAUUAGCGAUUCUUUAAAAAAAUAAAAUAAAAUUGCCACUGACAAUGGCGAUUUAUACCAGAAUGGUAAAUAAAAAAAAGUACCUCAAAACUGUAAUUUUACUACAAAACUACACUACUUAGGUAAAAAACCCAAUAUCACGGCUUCUAUUUUUGUACUUAGUUAAAGGCUGUUGUUCCUCUAAAGUUUUAGUUGUUUCUACUACCCAGCUCGUUUUGUGUCAGCACCAUGUUUGACACUAUGUAUGUUAACAUUGGUCAAUUGUCAGUCAGCACUAUAUUAUUCAAUAGUGUUACUAUGAGAAGUGGCUAACAGCACUUAUUUUAACUCUUUUUUCAAUUCUUUCUUUUAGUGGUUGAAAUUCACAUGAAACAUACUAAAUUGGUGGUGAGACUCACAUUUUGAGUGAGAACCCAAAUAAAUUUCAAUCAUUGUGCUAAAAAGAGAGGGUCGAUAGCAUAAACAAAAGCAAAAUAUUGAGUUAAUUAAUAUUUUAUUAUUUAACAUUUUUGACUCAAGUUAAUUUUAUGGACAACCACUCCAAGCUUCCCAAGUCCAUAUGUGUCAACUUCUAUCUCAGUCUCAGGUGUAACCUUCUCUCUGAAGGGUUUGGCAACCAAGAAAAAAAAGGACAUGUUGAGUGAAACCCAAAUAAAUUUCAAUUAAUAUGUGUUAAAAAGAUAUGGUCGAUAGCAUGAACGGAAGCAGAAUAUUUAGUUAAUUAGUAUUUUAUGAUUUAAUAAUAUUGUUGACUCAAGUCAUAUUCAAGUCAAUUUUAUGAACAACCACUUGAGUUAAUUAGUAUUUUAUGAUUUAACAUUGUCGACACAAGUCAUACUCAAGUCAAUUUUAUGAACAACCCCUCCCAGCUUCCCAAAUUCAUGUGUGUAACCUUCUCUCUCAAGUGUUUGGCAACCAAGAAAAAAAGGACAUAUUGAGAGUAAUUCAAAUAAAUGUUAAUCAUUAUGUGUUAAAAAAAGUGGGUCGACAGCAUAAACAAAAGCAGAAUAUUGAGUUAAUUAGUAUUUUAUGAUUUAACAUUGCCAACUCAAGUCAUACUCAAGUCAAUUUUAUGAACAACCCCUCCAAGCUUCCCAAGUCCAUAUGUGUAAACUUAUCUCCCAGCUGUAAUCUUCUGUCUCAAGUGUUUGGCAACCAAGAAAGAAAGGACAUGUUGUGCUUUCUCUAUGAUUAAGAGUGAAAGUUCCAUUCGGUAUCCUGAAAUGUAAUUUAAGUAUCUGCUAUUGCAAUUGGCCAAUUGUCAUCGAAUCUAUCAUUAUGAAGUAUGAACUAGUUUAAUGACAUUUCAAUGUUAUCCUGAAUGCAUUGUUAGAUAGAUAUUAGCUAUUACAAUAGUUAAAGGUUUACUGCAGGUUACCCCACACAAAUGGUCUGAAUGUUUUAACCACAUUAAUUUUCUGUUUAUUAUAAUUGCAAUUGCCGGAUAGUAAUUACCUGAUUCUCAUUAGCAAGAACUUCAUCAUGUUUUCCAAUUUCCAACUUUUCUCCAUGUGUGCAGUUUAAGUUAUUCGAUUAAGGCAGGUUAACAAUACAUUGUUUGAUUUGUAUGGAUCACAACAGUUAAUAAUAGCCUUCAACGAUUUUUGCUCUUAGUUUAGAAGUGAUAACAAGAAAUCUGAUUAUGAUUAAGGUAUGAAAUUUCAUUAAUUCUAUAUGUGCAUUAAAAAACACACCAAGUUUCAUACAUCACCUACUAUAAAACAAUCCUUAUAAGACAUUGUUCCUAAGCCUUUGAACUCUUACACCAGGGUUCCUCCCUUAACAUACUCUGUAAAGGCCAAGGCAAUCAAACCCAACAUAGCAAGCCUUCCAUUCCAGAGUUCUGCAUCAGAGGUCAUGAGACCUUUGGAUUUUGACUCCACACUAACCCCUUGAAACAGUGGAACCAAAGAAGCAAGAGUGAACACCACACUUGUCCCCAAGAACCAUGGAACUCCACCAUCUGAUAUUUGUUCAAACACUCCCUGCCCUCUGGCAACUUCCACUGCCAUUGCAGCUACAAACCCAAUCAUGGCUAGUCUUCCAUUGAUCCUCUCAGGUGCAGGCCCACCAAAUGCCAUCACAUCAGAAAACUUAGUGCUCACCUGCAAAUUUACCAUCACUCAUGUCAGUAAAAGUCUCAUACUGUAGAUCCAUGGUGUAAUUAGCAUAACUUAUUAUAAAAAAAAAUAGUGAACACUUGGCUCACUCACCUUUGGUGCACGAGGUUUUGGUGGUGGUGGUGG
rnacentral:lncRNA from 1 species